UACGUAGGGUGCAAGCGUUGUCCGGAAUUAUUGGGCGUAAAGAGCUCGUAGGGCGCCUGUCGCGUCGGCUGUGAAAACUCGAGGCUCAACCUCGAGACGUCGGUGGAAACCGUUUGGCUAGAGUCCGGAAGAGGAGAGUGGAAUUCCCGGUGUAGCGGUGAAAUGCGCAGAUAUCGGGAAGAACACCCGUGGCGAAGGCGGCUCUCUGGGACGGUACUGACGCUGAGACGCGAAAGCGUGGGGAGCGAACAGG
rnacentral:rRNA from 1 species